GAAGAAUGAUCCAUUAUGUAGUAAGAACAAAUUCUGCUUUCCUCCUUGGGAGGUUUUGAGGCAUUUCUGUUAAGAUGAUUAAUUAAGACUAAAUUCAUUAACAGUGCCAGACACUGAGGGUUCCUUCAUCCUAUGGAUGUGUGUUGAAAGCUUUUGAUGUGUCUGGUGCCAGGAGGGAGUCAGAUCUGCAACAUCUCUGCUUCCCUGGAGUUGGCACAUCGAGUGGGAAGACAGAUAAUGAAGCCAGGAAACAAAUGCACGUGUGACCUCGUGCCAGGGAGAGAGGCAUGAUGCGCUAGGAAGAGAGUCACACCAGGGCAUGAGGCCAGCGGGGGCAGGGACAGGCCAGGGGCUGCGGGGCUAUGUUAAACAGGCGGUCAGGGAAGGUUUCUCUGAGGAGGAGACAUGCGGGUAAACAUCUGGUGUGGAAGAUCAGAAGAACUUCCCGCGGAGCGGGUGGUGCGGGGUAUAGUUCUCCAGGCAGAACCAGCAUGGGGUGUUUGAAGAAAGCAAACGAGGCCAGUGCAGCUGGAGGGUUCCACGGAAAUGAAAUGGGUGCAGAAAUGGAGAAGCAAGCACUCUGCGUCCUCCAGGAGUGUGAUCUAGCAGAUUUCCAACAGGAAGAGCGGAGAGAGAAAAAGAACUGCCGUACUUGCUGACUACACGUGGGAAACUAAGAAAAUAUUUACAGCUUGCAGAAGGUUCGCCAUGUUCCCAUGUAUUAAUAUUUUUGGCCCUCUCUCAGUUCUCUGGGACAGUUUAUUUUUUAUUUUUUUCAUUUUGCUGUUGCUUUAUAAAACAUGUCGACAACUGGAGCCAACCGCUUCUUUUUUAGUUUUUAAGCUCAAACAGCUUUCUUUUUUAUUUCAUGAUUUUUUUUUUUUAAACCAAAGAAUGCUUUGUGCCGUGAGUGGUUUCUGCCAGCCUGCGUGCCUUUCUCACAGCACGG
rnacentral:lncRNA from 1 species